UACGUAUGGUGCAAGCGUUAUCCGGAUUUACUGGGUGUAAAGGGAGCGUAGACGGCUGUGCAAGUCUGAAGUGAAAGGCCGGGGCCCAACCCCGGGAGUGCUUUGGAAACUGUGCGGCUAGAAUGUCGGAGAGGCAAGUGGAAUUCCCAGUGUAGCGGUGAAAUGCGUAGAUAUUGGGAGGAACACCAGUGGCGAAGGCGUCUUGCUGGACGAUGACUGACGUUGAGGCUCGAAAGCGUGGGGAGCAAACAGG
rnacentral:rRNA from 1 species